ACGAACGCUGGCGGCGUGCUUAGCACAUGCAAGUCGAACGAUGAACCGGGUGCUUGCACCUGGGGAUUAGUGGCGAACGGGUGAGUAACACGUGAGUAACCUGCCCUGGACUCUGGGAUAACCCCGAGAAAUCGGAGCUAAUACCGGAUAGGACCCUGGACCGCAUGGUUUGGGGUGGAAAGUUUUUCGGUCUGGGAUGGACUCGCGGCCUAUCAGCUUGUUGGUGAGGUAAUGGCUCACCAAGGCGUCGACGGGUAGCCGGCCUGAGAGGGUGACCGGCCACACUGGGACUGAGACACGGCCCAGACUCCUACGGGAGGCAGCAGUGGGGAAUAUUGCACAAUGGGCGCAAGCCUGAUGCAGCAACGCCGCGUGCGGGAUGACGGCCUUCGGGUUGUAAACCGCUUUUAGUAAGGAAGAAGGGGAGCUUGCUCCUUGACGGUACUUGCAGAAAAAGGACCGGCUAACUACGU
rnacentral:rRNA from 1 species